rnacentral:rRNA from 1 species
AUUGAACGCUGGCGGCAGGCUUAACACAUGCAAGUCGAGCGGGGUGAUGGUGCUUGCACUAUCACUUAGCGGCGGACGGGUGAGUAAUGCUUAGGAAUCUGCCUAUUAGUAGGGGACAACAUCUCGAAAGGGAUUCUAAUCCCGCAUACGUCUUACGGGAGAAAGCAGGGGAUCACUUGUGACCUUGCGCUAAUAGAUGAGCCUAAGUCGGAUUAGCUAGUUGGUGGGGUAAAGGCCUACCAAGGCGACGAUCUGUAGCGGGUCUGAGAGGAUGAUCCGCCACACUGGGACUGAGACACGGCCCAGACUCCUACGGGAGGCAGCAGUGGGGAAUAUUUGACAAUGGGGGGAACCCUGAUCCAGCCAUGCCGCGUGUGCGAAGAAGGCCUUAUGGUUGUAAAGCACUUUAAGCGAGGAGGAGGCUCUUUUGGUUAAUACCCAAGAUGAGUGGACGUUACUCGCAGAAUAAGCACCGGCUAACUCUGUGCCAGCCGCCGCCGUAA